AUGCGGACCAUCAAGCUGAUCCUCGCCUACGACGGCACGGCCUAUGCCGGCUUUCAGCGGCAGCCCAACGGCAUCACCAUCCAGCAGCGGCUGGAGGAGGCGCUGCGAGCCGUCACCGGCGAGCCCGACCUGCGCAUCGGCGCGGCCGCCGGCCGCACGGACGCGGGCGUCCACGCCCGGGGCCAGGUGGUGCACCUGCGCACAUACGCCACCAUUCCCAUCGACCGGUGGCCCGCGGCCCUGAACGGCCAUCUCCCGGACGACAUCGCCGUCAUCGGCGCAGAGGAGGCGCCCCCCGACUUCCACGCCCGGUACUGGGCCCGGGAGAAGCGGUACCGGUAUACGUUCUGCCUUUCCCCGUACCGGCUGCCGAUGGCCCGUCUGUACAGCUACCACUGGCACCGGCCGGUGGACGUGGACGCGAUGCGGCGGGCGGCGGCGCUGCUGGUGGGGCGGCACGACUUCGCCGCCUUCCGGGCGACGGGGGGAUCGGCCCGCACGACCGUGCGGACGAUCACCCGGCUGACGCUCACCGAGGAGCCGCCGUUCCUCCACCUGGACGUCACGGCCGAUGGCUUCCUCUAUAACAUGGUGCGGAUCAUCGCCGGCACGCUGCUGGAGGUGGGCGCAGGCCGGCGCAGCCUCGACCGGGUGGCCCAGGCCCUGCGGCACGGCCGGCGGGAGGAUGCGGGCCGGACCCUGCCGCCCCACGGGCUCUGCCUGGAAGAGGUGGUCUACGGCGACGGCCCGAGCAUUCCGCCCUGGGCCGCGGAGGCCGCGCCGGACGCGGAUUUGGAGCCUUGA
rnacentral:tRNA from 1 species